rnacentral:rRNA from 1 species
AAAUUGACACCGUAACUUCGGGAGAAGGAGUGCCGCUGGCGGUUAGUGACUUCGCGUCACGAAGCUGUCGGUGGUCGCAGUGAAAUGGCGGUUGUGACUGUUUACUAAAAACACAGGACUCUGCGAAGUCGUAAGACGACGUAUAGGGUCUGAUGCCUGCCCGGUGCUGGAAGGUUAAGGGGAUAUGUCAGCGCAAGCGAAGCAUCGAACCGAAGCCCCAGUAAACGGCGGCCGUAACAAUAACGGUCCUAAGGUAGCGAAAUUCCUUGUCGGGUAAGUUCCGACCUGCACGAGGGCAUAACAACAUCCGCACUGUCUCGACCAGGGACUCAGCGAAAUUACAUUGGGGGUGAAGAUGCCCUCUACCCGCGGAAAGACGGAAAGACCCCAUGAACCUUUACUGCAACUUGGCAGUGAUUUUCGGGUUGUUCUGCGUAGGAUAGGUGGGAGGCUUUGAAGCCGGGCUUCCGGGUUCGGCAGAGCCAACGUUGAAAUACCACCCUGAAUAAUCUGGAAAUCUAACCUGCGCCCAUGAUCUGGGCGAGGGACACUGCCUGGUGGGCAGUUUGACUGGGGCGGUCGCCUCCUAAAUUGUAACGGAGGCGUGCGACGGUUCCCUCAGGCUGAUUGGAAACCAGCCGUAGAGUGCAAACGCAUAAGGGAGCUUUACUGCGAGACUGACAAGUCGAACAGUUGCGAAAGCAGGUGUUAGUGAUCCGGUGGUACCACAUGGAAGGGCCAUCGCUCAUCGGAUAAAAGGUACUCUGGGGAUAACAGGCUGAUCGCGCCUGAGAGUUCACAUCGGCGGCGCGGUUUGGCACCUCGAUGUCGGCUCAUCGCAUCCUGGGGCUGGAGCAGGUCCCAAGGGUUUGGCUGUUCGCCAAUUAAAGCGGUACACGAGCUGGGUUUAAAACGUCGUGAGACAGUUUGGUCCCUAUCUUCCGUGGGCGCAGGACACUUGAGAGGAGCUAUCCAUAGUACGAGAGGACCUGGAUGGACGAACCUCUGGUGCUCCGGUUGUCACGCCAGUGGCAUAGCCGGGUAGCCAUGUUCGGAACAGAUAACCGCUGAAGGCAUAUAAGCGGGAAGCUGGCCUCAAGACUAGGUGUCCCUGACGCAAGUCACUAAAGGCCCCUCGAAGACUACGAGGUUGAUAGGCUCGGUGUGGAAGCGCUGCGAGGCGUGGAGCUAACGAGUACUAAUAGGCCGUGCGACUUGACCUC